CCAAUAGCGUAUAUUAAAGUUGUUGCAGUUAAAAAGCUCGUAGUUGAACUUCGGGGUUUACCCAUUGGUCAGGCUUAAUUGUCUGUACUGGUGAGAUAAAUCUCUACCUUCUGAGGAACUUUCAUGUCAUUAAUUUGGUGUGAUUGGAAAUCAGGACUGUUACUUUGAAAAAAUUAGAGUGUUUAAAGCAGGCUAACGUCUGAAUACAUUAGCAUGGAAUAAUGAAAUAGGACGGACUGAUUCUAUUUCGUUGGUUUCUAGGAUCACCGUAAUGAUUAAUAGGGAUAGUUGGGGGCAUUAGUAUUCAAUUGUCAGAGGUGAAAUUCUUGGAUUUAUUGAAGACUAACUACUGCGAAAGCAUUUGCCAAGGAUGUUUUCAUUAAUCAAGAACGAAAGUUAGGGGGUCGAAGACGAUCAGAUACCGUCGUAGUCUUAACCAUAAACUAUGCCGACUAGGGAUCGGACGAAGUUAAUUUUAUAAUGACGCGUUCGGCACCUUACG
rnacentral:rRNA from 1 species